UGGUGCAAAGGAGCAGUGACCGAUUUCGCAGUGGGGGACAGUGAGACGCGAGAAAGUUCAGUGACCAUAAGGGAUAUUAGUGCCAACCCUGACGAGGAACGAAAGUGCUACCGUCCCGUGGCUAUCGGAUUGCUCGUGUACGAAAAUAGUCGUGAAUAUCGGCCCUGAGAUCGUGCCUGAACAAACCGGAGUGACAUCUUUGUGGCGCUCGCGAAACGCCCUCGAGGUGAACGUUCCCUGGAUGCUCGUUAAGAGCCACGGGGACACGAGCUCAGGUUCCGUUGGAAACGACCCCAAAACGGACGCUGCGCGGCGAAGAUACUCCUGUUCCCUCGAGGACGAGCCCGUUCUGUGGCCGUCCGUCUUUCCGAAAUACCUACAGUCCGCUGUUGGAUAUUUUCGUCGGCCCAUUACG